rfam:Pedobacter steynii strain DX4, complete genome.
AUUAAAGUGGACUGAUUUGCGAUGCUAUCAUCAAAAAUAGCGGGAUUGCAACCACGUAAAAAAAAGUGCUAACCUAUUUUCA